rnacentral:rRNA from 1 species
GUACCGUGAGGGAAAGGUGAAAAGUACCCUGAAUAAGGGAGUGAAAUAGUACCUGAAACCGUACGCUUACAAGCGGUCGGAGCAGACUUGUUCUGUGACGGCGUACCUUUUGUAUAAUGGGUCAUCGACUUGGUCUAUCUAGCAAGCUUAAGCCGUUAGGUGUAGGCGCAGCGAAAGCGAGUCUUAAUAGGGCGCAUGAGUUAGAUGGAUCAGACCCGAAACCGAGUGAUCUAGGCAUGGCCAGGUUGAAGGUGCAGUAACAUGCACUGGAGGACCGAACCCACAUCUGUUGAAAAAGAUCGGGAUGAGCUGUGCCUAGGGGUGAAAGGCCAAUCAAACUUAGAGAUAGCUGGUUUUCUGCGAAAUCUAUUUAAGUAGAGCGUUUAAAAUUCUUUAUCUAAGGUAGAGCACUCGAUAAAUAAAGGGGACGUAAAGUUUUACUGCAUUUAAUGAAACUCCAAAUAUAGAAUUAAAAAGAUUUUAAACAGACAGACUGUGAGUGCUAAGAUUCAUAGUCAAAAGGGAAACAGCCCGCAUUAUUUGUUAAGGCCCUUAAAAAUAAUUAAGUGAAAAAGAAAGUAAAAAAAUUUUAACAAUCUAUAGGUAGGCUUGGAAGCAGCCACCCUUUUAAGAAAGCGUAACAGCUCACUGGUUUAGUUUUUUUGCAUCAAAAAUGUAUAGGGACUAAAAUUAUUUGCCGAAACAAUAAAUUUAAAACAAUACAAUUAAUAAUAUAAUAUUAAAAAAUUGAUUUUAAAUGGUAGCAGAACGUUUUGUAUAUUUAAGAAAGUUUAUAGUUAUAUAAACUGGAAAAAUCAAAAAUGAAAAUAUUGAUAUGAGUAGCGAAAAACAUUGUGAAUAAUAAACAUUGUCACCUUAAGUUCAAGGUUUUUAAGGGAAGGCUAAUCCUCCUUAAUGUUAAUCGGUCCCUAAGAUAAAAACGAAAGUUGUAGUUGAUGGGUAAUUUUUUUAUUAUAUUUUAACGUGACAAAAUACGAAUUUAAUUUUUAUUUGUGAUUUUAAUUAAAAGUUUUUUAGUAUUUUCAAGAAAUAGCUUAAAAUAAUACCGUACUCUAAACCGACACAGGUGAACAAAUUUAGCAAAUUAAGGUGCUUGAAUUAAUUGUAUUGAAGGAACUCGGCAAAAUGACUCCG